rnacentral:rRNA from 1 species
GACGAACGCUGGCGGCGUGCCUAAUACAUGCAAGUCGAGCGAGCGGAACUAACAGAUUUACUUCGGUAAUGACGUUAGGAAAGCGAGCGGCGGAUGGGUGAGUAACACGUGGGGAACCUGCCCCAUAGUCUGGGAUACCACUUGGAAACAGGUGCUAAUACCGGAUAAGAAAGCAGAUCGCAUGAUCAGCUUUUAAAAGGCGGCGUAAGCUGUCGCUAUGGGAUGGCCCCGCGGUGCAUUAGCUAGUUGGUAAGGUAAAGGCUUACCAAGGCGAUGAUGCAUAGCCGAGUUGAGAGACUGAUCGGCCACAUUGGGACUGAGACACGGCCCAAACUCCUACGGGAGGCAGCAGUAGGGAAUCUUCCACAAUGGACGCAAGGCUGAUGGAGCAACGCCGCGUGAGUGAAGAAGGUUUUCGGAUCGUAAAGCUCUGUUGUUGGUGAAGAAGGAUAGAGGUAGUAACUGGCCUUUAUUUGACGGUAAUCAACCAGAAAGUCACGGCUAACUACGUG